GACGAACGCUGGCGGCGUGCUUAACACAUGCAAGUCGAACGGAAAGGCCCUGCUUUUGUGGGGUGCUCGAGUGGCGAACGGGUGAGUAACACGUGAGUAACCUGCCCUUGACUUUGGGAUAACUUCAGGAAACUGGGGCUAAUACCGGAUAGGAGCUCCUGCUGCAUGGGGGGGGUUGGAAAGUUUCGGCGGUUGGGGAUGGACUCGCGGCUUAUCAGCUUGUUGGUGGGGUAGUGGCUUACCAAGGCUUUGACGGGUAGCCGGCCUGAGAGGGUGACCGGCCACAUUGGGACUGAGAUACGGCCCAGACUCCUACGGGAGGCAGCAGUGGGAAAUAUUGCACAAUGGGCGGAAGCCUGAUGCAGCAACGCCGCGUGCGGGAUGACGGCCUUCGGGUUGUAAACCGCUUUCGCCUGUGACGAAGCGUGAGUGACGGUAAUGGGUAAAGAAGCACCGGCUAACUACGUG
rnacentral:rRNA from 1 species